rnacentral:lncRNA from 1 species
UAGAAUGAAAUUCAAAACAGUGUGGCUAUGGCCAUUGAUUGACACAUUAAAUUCAUCCAUUGACUGGGACAAUUUACGUGAACGUUUGUCUGUAACGACCACUGUUCACGACGUACCUACGAUAGACAUUUAAACUGUGGGGUUACCAAAGGUUUCUUAACGCCUUUAAUUAUAAAAUAAUUCGAAAAAAAAAUCAGGAAUAACCUUUAUGUUUUGAUUUAUAUAAUUGAUAUAAAUCAAAACAUCGUGUUAUUUCUGAUUAAUUUUU